UACGUAGGGGGCGAGCGUUAUCCGGAAUUACUGGGUGUAAAGGGUGCGUAGGCGGUAUGGCAAGUCAGUUGUGAAACCCCCUGGCUCAACCAGGGGCUUGCAAUUGAAACUGUCAUACUAGAGUGCAGGAGAGGAAAGCGGAAUUCCUAGUGUAGCGGUGAAAUGCGUAGAUAUUAGGAAGAACACCAGUGGCGAAGGCGGCUUUCUGGACUGUAACAGACGCUGAGGCACGAAAGCGUGGGGAGCGAACAGG
rnacentral:rRNA from 2 species